AUUGAACGCUGGCGGCAGGCCUAACACAUGCAAGUCGAGCGGGGUUUUCGGACCUAGCGGCGGACGGGUGAGUAAUGCGUAGGAAGCUGCCCGAUAGAGGGGGAUACCAGUUGGAAACGACUGUUAAUACCGCAUAAUGUCUACGGACCAAAGUGUGGGACCUUCGGGCCACAUGCUAUCGGAUGCGCCUACGUGGGAUUAGCUAGUUGGUGAGGUAAUGGCUCACCAAGGCGACGAUCUCUAGCUGGUUUGAGAGGAUGAUCAGCCACACUGGAAAUGAGACACGGUCCAGACUCCUACGGGAGGCAGCAUUGGGGAAUAUUGGACAAUGGGCGCAAGCCUGAUCCAGCCAUGCCGCGUGUGUGAAGAAGGCCUUCGGGUUGUAAAGCACUUUCAGCGAGGAGGAAGGGUGAUGUUUUAAUAGAGCAUCAUUUUGACGUUACUCGCAGAAGAAGCACCGGCUAACUCUGUGCCAGCAGCCGCCGCCGUAA
rnacentral:rRNA from 1 species